rnacentral:rRNA from 1 species
AAUGAACGCUGGCGGCGCGCCUAAUACAUGCAAGUCGAGCGAGAAGACGUAGCAAUACGUUUGUAAAGCGGCGAACGGGUGAGGAAUACAUGGGUAACCUACCCUCGAGUGGGGAAUAACUAGCCGAAAGGUUAGCUAAUACCGCGUACGCUUCUUGGACUUCGGUUCAGGGAGGAAAGCGAUACCGUGGGUAUCGCGCUCUUGGAUGGGCUCAUGUCCUAUCAGCUUGUUGGUGAGGUAACGGCUCACCAAGGCUUUGACGGGUAGCUGGUCUGAGAGGACGAUCAGCCACACUGGCACUGCGACACGGGCCAGACUCCUACGGGAGGCAGCAGUGGGGAAUCUUGCGCAAUGGGCGAAAGCCUGACGCAGCGACGCCGCGUGAGGGAUGACGGCCUCGG